AACGGAAGAUGCAUGAUUGAAAAGGCAUGACAUGAAAGUGCCAAAAAAAUAAUAAUAAAAUAACAAUAAAAAAUCUCGGCCCUCCCCUAAUCCGGCCUUGGCACCGGCGAGUCUCCGCUAUGGCCACCGAUCAUUGGUGACGGAGACCCCAGCCUCCGAUGGCUGGAGAUUGCAAAAAGGGGGUCUUUUCAUCCCUGUUUUCUGGGGAACCCGGAUCUGGGGUCGAAAUCCCUAGAUCCGGUCGAAAUUUGACAAUAACAAGGAGGGGCUUUUCGACUUCCAAUCGUCCCCAAAACGGCUUCAGGCAAACCCCGAGGGUGCGGCAGCCUUUUAAGUCAGAAGGGACUCCAGCGACGGCGUCGAGGUAAGAACCCUUUUUAUUUCUCGUUUUAUGUUUUUACAUAAAAAAAUAGAUUCAAAAAAAGAAUAAAUAAAAAAGAAUCACCUUCACAAUUUGGUAUUUUGUUUUUCUAUUGUUUCGUGUAUCCGUUACAUAGUUUUUUUGUUUUGGCUUUUUAACAUAGUUUUUUUGUUUUGGCUUUUUUAUAGCCGAAUACAUUACAUUGUUUUUUACUGUUUUUACUAUUGUUCUUUGUGUGUUCUUGUUUCUGUUCUUGUUCUUUCUUUUUGCAUGUGUCCCUAUCCGACGGCGACGACUGGCAGACGAGGCGUCAGACCUCGGGCGACAAAACCGCUGGCGAAGUGGAAGCGGCAGCGCACAGAAACCUUAGGGUUUCUGACUCUUCUGCAAAUAGUUUAGGUUUUUGGGUUUAUUGGGGUUUGGGUUGCUAAUUUGGGUAGUGGAUUUUAAAUUUGGGCCUAGCAUUUGUAAAUGGACUGUUUUUGAAUUUUGAUAUCUUUUAUUUUUAUUAUUUUCUUGUUUGGUUUCUGUUUGGGCCUAGGCUAAAUUGGCCUAUUACAGAAUCUAU
rnacentral:lncRNA from 1 species